rnacentral:snRNA from 1 species
AGCUUUGUGUGGUAGAAGUAUUGUAACCAAUGAGGCUUAUUCAAGGUGUGAUUAUUGCUAAUUGAAAAAGCAAAACCAUAAGACAUUUACUUUAGCUCUUUAACAAAUACAGGCAGUAUGCAAUUACCAAAGUAG